AAAAUGGGGAAAAUGACCGUGAUCCCUGGGGAGUAUUUUCAUCUGGUGGGCGGCAGCAAUUUGAGGAUUUUGGGUUUGGUGAAAUCCGACGAAGGAUUUUAUCAAUGCACGGCGCAGAACGAAGCUGGAAAUGCCCAAAGCGUCGCCCAACUCAUCGUCCUCGAGCCUGAGCUCGCUGACCCCGCCCUCCUCCCCUCAGCCCCUCAGCACCUGAGGCCCCUCCUCGC